GCAGCAGUGAGGAAUAUUGGUCAAUGGGCGCGAGCCUGAACCAGCCAUCCCGCGUGCAGGAAGACGGCCCUAUGGGUUGUAAACUGCUUUUGUGCAGGAAGAACGCUCUCUACGUGUAGAGAGGUGACGGUACUGCAUGAAUAAGCACCGGCUAACUCCGUGCCAGCAGCCGCGGUAAUACGGAGGGUGCAAGCGUUAUCCGGAUUUAUUGGGUUUAAAGGGUGCGUAGGCGGUAAAAUAAGUCAGUGGUGAAAAGCUGCAGCUCAACGGUAGUCGUGCCAUUGAAACUGUUUUACUUGAGUAACCAUGAGGUAGGCGGAAUGUGUAGUGUAGCGGUGAAAUGCUUAGAUAUUACACAGAACACCGAUUGCGUAGGCAGCUUACUAGCGGUUUACUGACGCUGAUGCACGAAAGCGUGGGGAUCAAACAGGAUUAGAUACCCUGGUAGUCCACGCCGUAAACGAUGAUAACUCGCUGUUGGCGAUACACAGUCAGCGGCUUAGCGAAAGCG
rnacentral:rRNA from 1 species